rnacentral:rRNA from 1 species
AACGAACGCUGGCGGCAGGCUUAACACAUGCAAGUCGAACGCAUCCUUCGGGGUGAGUGGCAGACGGGUGAGUAACGCGUGGGAACGUGCCCUGCAGUUCGGGAUAACCCAGGGAAACUUGGGCUAAUACCGGAUACGUGCGCGAGCAGAAAGAUUUAUCGCGGAAGGAUCGGCCCGCGUCUGAUUAGCUAGUUGGUGGGGUAAUGGCCCACCAAGGCAACGAUCAGUAGCUGGUCUGAGAGGAUGAGCAGCCACAUUGGGACUGAGACACGGCCCAAACUCCUACGGGAGGCAGCAGUGGUGAAUAUUGGACAAUGGGCGCAAGCCUGAUCCAGCCAUGCCGCGUGAGUGAUGAAGGCCUUAGGGUUGUAAAGCUCUUUCGUCCGGGACGAUAAUGACGGUACCGGAAGAAGAAGCCCCGGCUAACUUCGUGCCAGCAGCCGCAGUAA